rfam:Bacterioplanes sanyensis strain NV9 chromosome, complete genome.
GCAUGCCACUGUUAAUGUGCACGGUGGUGAUGCCAAAUUUGUCAUGCACAUUCAUUGUGGAGUAAUAACAAUGGCAUUAACAGCUGCUCAAAAAGCUGAGAUCGUAAAAGAGUACCAAACCGCUGAA